rnacentral:lncRNA from 1 species
AGUCGCCGAGCUUUUUGGAUACAACAAUGGCGAUGAGUGGAUGGUUGCGCAUUUCUUGUUCCGGAAGAAGUAGAAGUCACCCCUGGAGCCAAGUACUCCCUCCAUCCCAUAAAAAACCAACCUGGUAUUGGAGGUGAUAUUCCCUAGUAUAACGAAUCUAGGCAACCUUCUGUUCAGAUUCGUUGUAUUAGGAAAUAUCACCUCCAAUAGUAGGUUGAUUUUUUGUGGGACGAAGGGAGUAAUUCAGAAGCAUUCAAUCCCUUUUCAGACCUCACUUGAUGAUUCAGGAAUCGUGCUUUGC